rnacentral:rRNA from 1 species
UUAAGUGACUAAGCGUACACGGUGGAUGCCUUGGCAGUUGGAGGCGAUGAAGGACGUACUAACUUGCGAUAAGCCUAGUCAAGCCAGUAAGAGGCGCUUGAGACUAGGAUUUCCGAAUGGGGAAACCCACCUGCUUGCAGGUAUCGUUAACUGAAUACAUAGGUUAACGAGGCGAACGCGGAGAACUGAAACAUCUAAGUACCCGUAGGAAAAGAAAUCAACCGAGAUUCCGAAAGUAGCGGCGAGCGAAAUCGGACCAGCCCUUAAGCUUUAGUGUAGUUAGUGGAACAUGCUGGAAAGCAUGACGAAACAGGGUGAUAGUCCCGUACACAAAAACUUAUCUAAAGUGAAAUCGAGUAGGUCGGAGCACGUGAAACUUUGACUGAAUAUGGGGGGACCAUCCUCCAAGGCUAAAUACUCCCAACUGACCGAUAGUGAACCAGUACCGUGAGGGAAAGGCGAAAAGAACCCCUGUGAGGGGAGUGAAAUAGAACCUGAAACCGUGUACGUACAAGCAGUAGGAGCCUACUUGUUGGGUGACUGCGUACCUUUUGUAUAAUGGGUCAGCGACUUAUAUUCUGUAGCGAGGUUAACCAUUUAGGGGAGCCGUAGCGAAAGCGAGUCUUAACUGGGCGCUUAAGUUGCAGGGUAUAGACCCGAAACCCGGUGAUCUAGCCAUGGGCAGGUUGAAGGUUGAGUAACAUCAACUGGAGGACCGAACCCACUAACGUUGAAAAGUUAGGGGAUGACCUGUGGCUAGGAGUGAAAGGCUAAUCAAACCGGGAGAUAGCUGGUUCUCCCCGAAAUCUAUUUAGGUAGAGCCUCGGACGAAUACUUACGGGGGUAGAGCACUGUUAAGGCUAGGGGGUCAUCCCGACUUACCAACCCUUUGCAAACUCCGAAUACCGUAAAGUAAUAUCCGGGAGACACACGGCGGGUGCUAACGUCCGUCGUGGAGAGGGAAACAACCCAGACCGUCAGCUAAGGUCCCAAAGUGUAUGUUAAGUGGGAAACGAUGUGGGAAGGCUAAAACAGCUAGGAGGUUGGCUUAGAAGCAGCCACCCUUUAAAGAAAGCGUAAUAGCUCACUAGUCGAGUCGGCCUGCGCGGAAGAUGUAACGGGGCUAAACAUACCACCGAAGCUACGGCUGCGUACGUAAGUAUGCGGGGUAGGGGAGCGUUCUGUAAGUGGCUGAAGGGGUGCCGGGAGGCAUGCUGGACAUAUCAGAAGUGCGAAUGCUGACAUGAGUAACGACAAGAGGAGUGAAAAACUCCUCCGCCGGAAGACCAAGGGUUCCUAUCCCAUGUUAAUCAGGGUAGGGUGAGUCGACCCCUAAGGCGAGGCUGAAGAGCGUAGUCGAUGGGAAACGGGUUAAUAUUCCCGUACUCGGUAUGAAUGCGAUGGGGGGACGGAGCAGGCUAGGCAAGCAUGGCGUUGGUUGUCCAUGUGAAAGGCUGUAGGCUGGUGACUUAGGAAAAUCCGGGUUGCCAAGGCUGAGAGUCGAGACGAGCCACUAAGGUGGUGAAGUUGUUGAUGCCCUACUUCCAGGAAAAGCCUCUAAGCUUCAGUUCAUACUGAAUCGUACCCUAAACCGACACAGGUGGUCAGGUAGAGAAUACUAAGGCGCUUGAGAGAACUCGGGUGAAGGAACUAGGCAAAAUUGUACCGUAACUUCGGGAGAAGGUACGCUCUUGUUUGUGAAGGACUUGCUCUGUAAGCAAACGAGAGCCGCAGUGACCAGGUGGCUGGGACUGUUUAUUAAAAACACAGCACUGUGCAAAAUCGUAAGAUGACGUAUACGGUGUGACACCUGCCCGGUGCCGGAAGGUUAAUUGAUGGGGUUAGCUUAGGCGAAGCUCUUGAUCGAAGCCCCGGUAAACGGCGGCCGUAACUAUAACGGUCCUAAGGUAGCGAAAUUCCUUGUCGGGUAAGUUCCGACCUGCACGAAUGGUGUAACCAUGGCCACGCUGUCUCCACCCGAGACUCAGUGAAAUUGAAAUCGCAGUGAAGAUGCUGUGUACCCGCGGCUAGACGGAAAGACCCCGUGAACCUUUACUACAGCUUGGCACUGAACAUUGACCCUACAUGUGUAGGAUAGGUGGGAGGCUUUGAAGCAGAGACGCUAGUUUCUGUGGAGCCGACCUUGAAAUACCACCCUUGUAGUGUUGAUGUUCUAACUUAGGCCCCUGAAUCGGGGUUGAGGACAGUGCCUGGUGGGUAGUUUGACUGGGGCGGUCUCCUCCCAAAGAGUAACGGAGGAGCACGAAGGUUUGCUAAGUACGGUCGGACAUCGUACGGUUAGUGUAAUGGUAGAAGCAAGCUUAACUGCGAGACAGACACGUCGAGCAGGUACGAAAGUAGGUCAUAGUGAUCCGGUGGUUCUGAAUGGAAGGGCCAUCGCUCAACGGAUAAAAGGUACUCCGGGGAUAACAGGCUGAUACCGCCCAAGAGUUCAUAUCGACGGCGGUGUUUGGCACCUCGAUGUCGGCUCAUCACAUCCUGGGGCUGAAGUCGGUCCCAAGGGUAUGGCUGUUCGCCAUUUAAAGUGGUACGCGAGCUGGGUUUAGAACGUCGUGAGACAGUUCGGUCCCUAUCUGCCGUGGGCGUUUGAGAAUUGAGAGGGGCUGCUCCUAGUACGAGAGGACCGGAGUGGACGAACCGCUGGUGUUCGGGUUGUGAUGCCAAUUGCAUUGCCCGGUAGCUACGUUCGGAACUGAUAACCGCUGAAAGCAUCUAAGCGGGAAGCAGGCCUCGAGAUGAGUUCUCACUUUGACUUAGAGUCAACUGAAGGGCCGUUGAAGACUACAACGUUGAUAGGCGAGAUGUGGAAGUGCUGUGAGGCAUUAAGCUAACUCGUACUAAUUACCCGUGAGGCUUAACCAU